AGGGCUGGCAGGUGCAAGGGAAUCAUCUGUACUCCAAGGUUGAUUUUGCUGGCGUAUUUGGUGAGCCCUGAUCCUUGGAAAGGGGCAGAUGAGAGCCAACAGCAGAGUUCUGUGUAAGAAUUUUCAAGAGGAUGUCCACCUUGCACUGGUCUUUCAGAGGCUGAGGUAUCUACUGGUGAAAGAAUCACUAUGCUUCUUUGAGGAACAGAGUCUGAGGUUAUGACUGCUGCUGGAAUGGUGGACCACAGGCAGAAUACACUGUGAGCUUUCUGUCCAGCAGCAUUUAGUAUCUGGAGGAAGCAGGCACUGCUGUUAUUUGCUGUUGCUGGCUGUCAUGCUGCAUGUAAGUCUGGCACCUCAGAGCAAUUGCUUUGGAUUAGAGAUGGAAUUCAGCAUACAAAGGAAAAAUGGUACUCCUAUAUAAAUAACUGAGAGUCUCACAAUGGCCCUUUGAACCAGCUCGUUUGUUCUAGUCACUGCCUGUGAGUAGCAUGAGUUUAUCUAGUACAUGCAGCCAUUGAAAGUAAAAUAAAAUUUAAAAAAAUAACUGAAAAAGAAAACCUGUUACAUUCAAGGUUGUGCAGAUCUAUUCUAUGGGCUAGUUGCCUGUGUCCUAAUUAUAUAAGAACAUUUGUUUAUCCAUGUAGUUAUCUGUUCAUCUUUGUGCUUGCUCCAGUAGCCAGAAAUCACAGUCCCUCUCUUUGUAAGGGUAACCAUGUGAUUGCACAGCUCUUCCGUACUUCUACAGCAUGAUUUAUUUUUAUUUUGCUUCUUCAAGUGGCCUACUGCACACUGAGUAGCUUAAGCUUCCAUUAUCUUUGAACAGCAGCAGUUAUUUAUAUAAAUGAAAUCAUUGUAUUUGCGUUAUUGGCAGUAUAGAGGAUAGGAAAUCAAAUGGCUUAGUUUGCUGGAGUAUUCUGGCAUUCACUUCCAGCAUCAUGGGGUCUGCAUCAAUCAUUAGCUUUUAGAAGCUAGUACUAUCAAUAUUUAUUCUGGAUCUUAAAUAUCUCAGUUUUCCUCAAGAAAUACAAGAUAAAGGCAAUAGGAGGAUUUGAAUGUUCUGAUGUAUUUUUUGUUUGUUUUAAAGAAGCAAGCUGACAGCUGAAUUGUGUAGUUCAUAACUUGUAGUUAAUUAGCAGAAUUCCCUCAGCUGUUUGCAUAAGCUGAUGGUGAAAGAGUCACAAUGUAUUGUUAAAGGGCAAGUAGAAUAAUUUGUUCCUAUAGAAGAGACAAAAAUUAUAUGUUUAUUGUGCAUUCAAUUUUUCCUUUUAGAUGAAUAGGAGAGGUCACCAAAAUAAUUGUUACUUCCCCCCAUGUAUAUAUAAAUAUUUUUACAUUAGACAUGAAACCUUUCUCCACUAAAUAAAUGACAUAUGGAGACUUAGACAUGUACUUCUGUUCUAUGUUACCAAAACUUUUUUCUUCUGUGCACUUUACCUUUUAUCUGAUAAACUAUUAAUGAAAUUAAACACCCUUAACAAACCAUGGAUGUCAUAUAACUUAUUUUGAAGAAAAAAACAUAAUUCUUAUUUUGUUGUAUUUCUGCAUUGUCUUUUCCUGAAGGUCUCUAUGUGAAUCUGUAACCUCUUCAUUGUCAUCCUCUUUGCUACAAGAAUGUUCAAGUCAUCCAGUGCUGCCCUGUUAUACUUGCAAGAGAUAAGAGUCACUAAAUCGGUAUUUUACAUAGUCUCAGAGAGGAGAGGAAAAAAAAAAAAAAAAGAUGAACAGCAUGUUUCUUUAGGAUUUUUUUUUUUCCAUUUUAUACUUUUAGAAGGCUUUCUUUAUUAUAAGUUUUAUUCUAUUUUUGCUGAUGCAGAAUAAACAUAUUCAAGUCUAUGUUCCAUUAACCAUUUUCACCUCAAUUGUCCACAACUUCCUCAGCCAGAUCUCUUUCUCUUUAAUAUAUUCCAUGGUUGGUUUCAGAUCAGAAGUGACAUUUCUGAGAGUAAAUAAAAUUUAGUCAGUCAACUUUUUUGGAUUUCUCCAUAUGUUUUAAAUCCGGAGAGCUGUCAAGAUGUCACUUAAUAGAUGACUUAGUAUCCAAUUUUUAGAUCUUAAGAAAAAGCAAAUGAGAUUUGAAUUUCAUAGCUUUAAAGUUUUGAACGC